CAGAAGUUAGAAAAGAGGCUGUUUGUCUGAAGAGACGAGGGUGUGGUAAAAAUAUGCUGUGCCAGUCAAGCCGACCAAAAUACUAUCUGAAUUACGAAGCAAGCUGGAAAACAAAAUUUAACAGGAGAUCUGGACCCCACCUGUGACCUCCCAGGAGGGAUGGAGAGAAAAGGACUCCUGGGACCUGCACACGCACAGCUCCCUGCAGGGAAUUCUGCUGUUGGCUUACUUUCUGCAAUCAAAGCAGAAGGGAAGAGGAGGGAAUAGUCUAUGCUCAAGUUUUUGCUACUGGACCAUCUUCAUCCCUGACAUGGCAUCUGCACUAUGAAAUUGACUCUGAAUGAAUGGGAAUUCGGGUGUCCUCACCUCCUGGAGACAGGACACAACUUUCAGACCGAAUUAGCCUCAGUUGGAUAGUUUUUGAAAUCUCCCCAAGUAACAGACCUAGAAGAUUUUUCCCUCAUGGUGGCCUGGGCUGGACAUUUGGUGGGCAGUAGCAUGCAUACUCUGACCACAUCACCGGUGUGAAAUUGCUGAUUAACCUUUUGACUCUGACCAUUGGGACUUCUCUCAACACCAACUGACAGGCUGUCUCUGACAGAAGAAUACAGUUCAUCAAAAGUGUCUGCAGGUUGUCAAACUCGCACGUGCAUAACACUGGUGACAAAGUCUCCGUGAAGUUGUGUGUCUGCAGGAACUGCUCUGGUCACAGGGCACUUCAACAGGAGAAGUGAUCACACCAGAAACAGUAAACUGCUCUUCAAAGGCAAUAUUCUGAUAUGACAACAGACAUAGAUAAUGCUCGUCAUGAUGGAACUGCUUGAUACAGAGAAAAACAUGUUGUAACUGCCUUCACCGUGAAAGGGGUUUAAAAAUGUUGCCUGACAACUCCACAAAAACCAGAGCUGCUAUUUCAGUUAAAGGCCAGUGGAUUGUAUUUUUCACGUCAGUUUUCACUAACCUCAAACAUCACUGUUAUGACAGACUGUCAUCCAACCAAACCAGCAGUAUGGUGCCAUUCAAGCAAGCAGGAAGAAAGCAAACAUGAAGGAAACUUAAAAGUCC